GUGAGGAAUAUUGGUCAAUGGACGAGAGUCUGAACCAGCCAAGUCGCGUGAAGGAAGACGGUUCUAUGAAUUGUAAACUUCUUUUGUGCAGGAAUAAAGUGGGUUACGUGUAACCUUUUGUAUGUACUGUACGAAUAAGGAUCGGCUAACUCCGUGCCAGCAGCCGCGGUAAUACGGAGGAUCCGAGCGUUAUCCGGAUUUAUUGGGUUUAAAGGGUGCGUAGGUGGUUUGAUAAGUCAGCGGUGAAAGUUUGCAGCUUAACUGUAAAAAUGCCGUUGAAACUGUCGGUCUUGAGUGCAAAUGAGGUAGGCGGAAUGUGUUGUGUAGCGGUGAAAUGCUUAGAUAUAACACAGAACUCCGAUUGCGAAGGCAGCUUACUGGGAUGCAACUGACACUGAUGCACGAAAGCGUGGGUAUCAAACAGGAUUAGAAACCCCUGUAGUCC
rnacentral:rRNA from 1 species